GGGGGCGUGGCGAAAUGGUUAACGCGUUCGGCUUCGAACCGAAAGAUUGCAGGUUCGAGCCCUGCCGUCCUCG